rnacentral:rRNA from 1 species
AGGAGCUUGCUCUUCUUGGAUGAGUUGCGAACGGGUGAGUAACGCGUAGGUAACCUGCCUUGUAGCGGGGGAUAACUAUUGGAAACGAUAGCUAAUACCGCAUAACAAUGGAUGACACAUGUCAUUUAUUUGAAAGGGGCAAUUGCUCCACUACAAGAUGGACCUGCGUUGUAUUAGCUAGUAGGUGAGGUAAUGGCUCACCUAGGCGACGAUACAUAGCCGACCUGAGAGGGUGAUCGGCCACACUGGGACUGAGACACGGCCCAGACUCCUACGGGAGGCAGCAGUAGGGAAUCUUCGGCAAUGGGGGCAACCCUGACCGAGCAACGCCGCGUGAGUGAAGAAGGUUUUCGGAUCGUAAAGCUCUGUUGUAAGUCAAGAACGGGUGUGAGAGUGGAAAGUUCACACUGUGACGGUAGCUUACCAGAAAGGGACGGCUAACUACGUGCCAGCAGCCGCGGUAAUACGUAGGUCCCGAGCGUUGUCCGGAUUUAUUGGGCGUAAAGCGAGCGCAGGCGGUUUGAUAAGUCUGAAGUUAAAGGCUGUGGCUCAACCAUAGUUCGCUUUGGAAACUGUCAAACUUGAGUGCAGAAGGGGAGAGUGGAAUUCCAUGUGUAGCGGUGAAAUGCGUAGAUAUAUGGAGGAACACCGGUGGCGAAAGCGGCUCUCUGGUCUGUAACUGACGCUGA